GGCUGCUUGAGAAAUUUAACCUCUAACAUCUUGUCGAGUUAUUUUAUAAAAAUUCACUGUUAUAACAUAUAAUCGCGGGAGUGAUGGAAAAUAGAGCUGACACAGUUAGAGUGAAGAAAUAGCCGAAUGAUCCUUGGCCAGAUGCAAGUGAAAAUUAUAAUUUCGAUUAUGUGGACUCUUGCGAAAUCAAAAGCUUUGAAACAUUCUCUUUUUAUAAGUCACCAUCGAAUCACGUGAAUGAGGUUAGGGCGUUACAGGAAAAGUUAGACGAAAAAAUGCAGUGCAUGAUCGCAGUGAAUGCUUUCACUGGGAUAUUUGUCACAAAUCAUUUGCUCGACAAGAUCGUCUCAAUAUAAUUACCGUACAUGACAGUAAGCAAACCUUUCGAAUGUGACAUUUGUCAUAAAUCAUUUGGAUACCAAAGUGUACUCAAAACUUAUACUAUGACAAUACAUAGUUCUAUAAAGUGAACCUGAAAAUUCACAUUCUCAAAGCAAACCCUACGACCGUAAAAUUUGUUGUAACACAUGAACCCAUUGAAGACUUCUACACAUUCUAGAGUACGCUACGGAAUUUUGGAAAACCUUUUACA